UUUCAAUUUUAUUAAGAUAUAAUCUAUGCAUGUUUUUUAUUGUGAGAAACUAUAUUUAAUCAAUUUUUUUUACAAUUUAUGCAAGUUCAAGGUUGAGUGCUAUAUGGUAUCAGAAGAAUGAAAAGUACUACCAAAACUGAAGGAAAUGAUGUUACCUACCAUCAGAAAUAUUUCAUAUUAAUUUAAAAACAACUGCAGAAAAAAGUUGACCUUUAUUAUCGUUGAAUCUGAUAGGAAUAAUAUUCAUUUUAAUGGUAAUGUUUGAUUACUUGCAAAAUGAUUCAGGAAUUCAAGGUUUGUUUCCAAUAAAAAGUAAAUUUACUCCUUUGUCUUUCUCCUGCUAAUCUGAAGAGGGUACUCCAGAUAAUCUGAAGAGUAUUUAAUAGAUUCGGUCCUGAUCCUUACUCGGCGAAAAUUCAUUAUAAAUAAAACAAAAAUAUUUGUUGUGCAAAUUACUUUGUUUUUAUUUUAUUUUUAGUUUGAAUAGGGUAUGAGGGGUAUUAAUUGAUGUACCUACAAUUCAAUUCGUAAAAAUGGAUUAUUUUUCCAUGAAUAUUUUUAGCAAUAUUAAGGAAAAAAGGAUUGAUUCAUAGUUGUAUUCGAUUUUUGUAUUCUACAUAAAAUUCAAUUAUCGAAUAAUAUUUUUAUCUUACAGCAGCUUGUUUGCUAUUUUCAAUUCUGACAAACACUUGAUGCAAUUUUUCAACUGAGCAAUAAAGGACAACUCACUCAACUCCAUGCGCCACGUUUCCGGUGAUUCCCCGUUCUACAUAUUAAAAUUGAUAAGGUGGCGUUGUUGUCAGUUUUCAAUUUUAUCAAGAGAAAUCCUUUAAUUGUUGUUAUUUUGAGAAUGAGAAAAUUAUAAAGUAUGAACAGGUGUGAAAUUGGUAUAUUGAAUUUGUAUUUAAAUCAGUUUGAAACAUUAAAUGGAUUCCAUCUGCCUUGAAACUACGCACGGUGCUUACGUACGGUAACUGGUUUUCGAAGAAAUCCAGACACUUGGAAAGUUGGCCUUAAACAAAUAAAUUACAAUCUACAUUUUCAAACGUUCUGUUUAAUAUUGUAUUAGGUGGUUAAUUAAUUGAUAUUUCUAGUGUUUCUAAUGAAGAAAAUUGAAAAUGUGGUUAUGUUUAACAUAAUUUUAUUGAAUGAGAUUGUAUUUUGAUCCAAGCAUUAUUAAUUCACUAAUAGUCGAUAAUGCUCUUUGGAUCUUGCUGAAAGAUCGAUAUUUAAGGUUUGUCGAUAAACAUUACUAGGCUUUGGGUUGCUAUAACUAAAAAGCAAAAAAAUAAAAAUUUAAAUAAUUAUUUUUAAGAGAACUACAAAAUAAAAUCAAAAGAUUGAAUGAAAAAAGGCCUAUACCGAAAAGUUUCAUAGUUAUGAAAUCUGAAUAUAUUAUAAGGAAUUUGUUGUGGGUAGCAUAAUAAAUAGGCACUCUCCCAACGUAUCGUUAAAAAUAAACUGACGAUAUCUAUUUAAUUUUUAGUUUUAUCGCUAACGGAUUCGUUAUUAUGUAAAAAAAUUAUAAAUGGUCAAAUUUGUACAAAUCAAUCAACCUUUUCUGAUGAAUUCUAAAAACAAAUCCCUUUCUUAUCAGGAUGCUCCAAACAUGGCAACAAUGCUUACCCAUAUAUCGAAACAUUCGAAACCCUUAAAUACAGCAGUUCGUCAGGUUUUUGCAUUCACUAUUCAAGUAUCGUUCGAUUCGAACUUGCAUUUCAAAUAGUUUGUGAAGUUAUAUAAUUUUCGGUGUCCAAAAUGGUUCUUCUCUCUUAUGGUAUUUGCCAAGCGGCUUGUGCAGGUCUUGUGGUUGCAUGUUUCAGCGCAGCCGGAUUUACAGUCCCAGGUGCAAUCAGUGCUGCUACUCCUGCUUUGGCCGCCUGUAAUACGGAAUUUGCAUCUUGUAGUGCAGCCUGUUUUCUCUACUCUUAUUGGAAAUGAUGGAAUCUUUUGCAAAUAAGAUUCCUUGUUUAUCAAAUUUAUAUAUCCAUAAUAUAUUGAUAAUAAAAUGAAUUAUAUGGAGAAGAUAAGUUCAUCAAUUCACCCAAAAAUUGAAAUGAUUAAUUUCAUCAAGAUCAAGUGAUUAUUCUUGAUUACUUUUUAUCUAUACGGCAUUCAUCUAGAUUUUAGACUAGACAUUAAGUGCUUUUCACAGAGUGGAGCACCUCGAAGCAACACCGAGUCGUUCCACUCCUCAUUUUUCCUGUUCCAGUAACCAGAUCGACUUCAACUACCUUCCCCUUUCCCCUGAAGUGGGAUAGUAAAAUUAAUUUCUGCCGAAUAAAUUUUUCAUUACUAGUAUGUUUGUACUCUCAAAAACGCCAAUAUCUUGAAAUGGUUAGUUUUUCCGGAUUCAAAGAAGAAUACAUUUUUUAAUCAAAAAUGCAUAAUUUUUCUGAUUUCACCAAUGGCAUAAAAAAUGGGGGAGAAAAAUGACCAUGAUGCCCUUCUUGAAAGUCACUGGUGGCUACUGAAAAUGUUAUUUUUUAAUUGAAAAAUUUUGAAAAUUGUGGAAUAAAAAUUAGUUUUAAUUUUUCAUAUCCUGUAUUUCUGCAAUAUUUGGGAGAAGAAAUAUUA